rnacentral:rRNA from 1 species
UACAGAGGUCCCAAGCGUUACUGAGAAUCACUGGGUUUAAAGGGUGCGUAGGUGGUCCGUUAAGUCAGUUGUGAAAUCCCCGGGCUCAACCCGGGAACUGCUUCUGAUACUGGAAGACUUGAGUCCGGGAGAGGUGAGUGGAACUGCGAGUGUAGAGGUGAAAUUCGUAGAUAUUCGCAAGAACACCGGUGGCGAAGGCGGCCAACUGGACCAUUACUGACGCUGAGGCGCGAAAGCGUGGGGAGCAAACAGG